rnacentral:rRNA from 1 species
AUUGAACGCUGGCGGCAGGCCUAACACAUGCAAGUCGAGCGGAGCGGCGGACGGGUGAGUAAUGCCUAGGAAUCUGCCUGGUAGUGGGGGAUAACGUCCGGAAACGGGCGCUAAUACCGCAUACUAUCAGAUGAGCCUAGGUCGGGUUAGCUAGUUGGUGGGGUAAAGGCCUACCAAGGCGACGAUCCGUAACUGGUCUGAGAGGAUGAUCAGUCAACAUGGAAAUGGGACACGGUCCAGACCUCUACGGGAGGCAGCAGUGGGGAAUAUUGGAAAAUGGGCGAAAGCCCGAUGCAGCCAUGCCGCGUGUGGUAAGAAGGCCUUCGGGUUUUAAAGCACUUUCAGCGGGGAGGCGUUACCCGCAGAAGAAGCACCGGCUAACUCCGUGCCAGCAGCCGCGGUAAUUC